UAGGGAAUCUUCCACAAUGGGCGCAAGCCUGAUGGAGCAACACCGCGUGAGUGAAGAGGGGUUUCGGCUCGUAAAGCUCUGUUGUUAAAGAAGAACACGUAUGAGAGUAACUGUUCAUACGUUGACGGUAUUUAACCAGAAAGUCACGGCUAACUACGUGCCAG
rnacentral:rRNA from 1 species